UGGGGAAUAUUGCGCAAUGGGGGAAACCCUGACGCAGCGACGCCGCGUGAGCGAUGAAGGCCUUAGGGUUGUAAAGCUCUGUUUUAAGGGACGAAUGUUACGGGGAGUAAUAUGCCCUGUAAAUGACGGUACCUUAAGAGGAAGCCCCGGCUAACUACGUGCCAGCAGCCGCGGUAAGACGUAGGGGGCGAGCGUUGUCCGGAAUUACUGGGCGUAAAGAGCACGUAGGCGGGACUUUAAGUCAGGUGUGAAAGACCGGGGCUCAAGCUCGGGGUGGCACUUGAAACUGGGGUUCUUGAGGGCAGGAGAGGAAAGUAGAAUUCCUGGUGUGGCGGUGAGAUGCGUAGAAAUCAGGAGGGAUACCAGUGGCGAAGGCGACUUUCUGGACUGACCCUGACGCUGAGGUGCGAAAGCGUGGGUAGCAAACAG
rnacentral:rRNA from 1 species